UCUGCCGAAAAUUUUAAUUUAGCAAUUAAUCUGUUCUUAAUUCGUUUUUAAUUGAAUUAAGGGUAGUUGGGUAAAAACUCAUUAUAGUAAAUAAGGUAGUUUCGGAUUUUACUCCUAUCUACCGUCUUGAAGAAGUUUUGAACAGUCACCAAAAAUUCACUUCAUCUUCCACGAUUCUCACGGUAGCUAGGGUUUCUCCCGGUUUGCUUUGAGCAGACGGCGACGGCGGCGCCUAUCCAGGUAUUUUGAAUACAAUGGCUCGUACGAAGGGUAAAGGAAAGGCUGUCGAUGGUAUUUUGAAUACAAUGGCUCGUACGAAGGGUAAAGGAAAGGCUGU